ACCUGAAAAACGCCUAGACGAGUCGGGGAUGGUAGGGCCAGAAGCAUUUCGAAACGGCUACGCGCUGGUGGCCGAGCUUGAGGCAUGCCAACACGUGACCUCUCCCGACGAUUUCCGCGUCAAGAACAUCUCCAUCGCCGACAUCAACGACCACAAAAGUAAGAGAAAGAGGAUCUUCACCGAGGACAACAACAAUCUCGUCUGCGAGGAUUUCUCUCGCACCCCUUCUCCAUCCCUUUCACCGCGACCCCCGCCAACCCCUUCGCCCACGCCGUCGGAUAAGGGAAGCAGCGCCGCUCAACCCCGCUACAGCAACACACAUCUCAGGUCGUCCUAAAUCCAUCCGUCGGUCAGAAGAUUAGUCUCUCCCAAGAUUUAGCAAUCGUUUACCCGGAAAUUCGCCUCCAGGAGGAUGCUGCGAAUAACGACACGGAAAUAGCCCCCGUGGGCACGUCCCUCCAAAAACGCGAACUCAUCACCGCAGGGAUAAUCAUAAGCUCCUUGGUAAUCGCCAACCUGAAAAACAUGGAGCCUUCCGUCACCGCCCUGCACGAGAUCCUACAGGCCACUCAAGUGAUGCCGCAGUUGUUAGAGCCAUUGAAACAAGUGUUCGGCACGUUGCCUGCGAACCAACUGCCCAACGGUGGCCGACUACGGCGGAAGGAUGGUUCCAUCUACUGGAGGGGAACGAUGUUGGAGUUCAAUACCGAGGGAGGGGUCCACGUCUUCGUGAUCAGUCCGAAGAAAGAACAGUACAUUGUCGUCGUGAAUAAGAGGGUUUUCCUGAACCACGAUCCGAUCUGUCAGAACACGGACGAGUUGGGGAAACCGGAGUACCGGACGUGUAGUACGAAGGAAGAGGGAAAGGACGAGGAGUUCGUGUCCAUGUGGUAUACGAAUCUGGUGGUGUGCGUGGAGAUGACCGAAGGAGAGAUCGAUGAGUUCAAGGAUGUCCAGAAGCAAGUCCAGACUGAGAGAGAGCAGCUCUUCAUGCCUGUCCUGGACGCGAUUGAGCUGAGACUUAAGAAUGCUGGACGACUCGGGAAGAAGGUGGCAGGGGUCCCAAUCGAACUGACUCUGGGUCUUGCAAGAGCGGUAGCCGCCGCUCCGGGCACGGUGCAUGCCACGGCGCUGACCUCAGCCAAGCAGGCAGUGGACUUCGCGAAAGGGAUAGCGGCAAUCCCUGGGGCGGUCGUGGACGCGGCCGGAGCGGCAGCGGACAACCUGGUCAAGAACGUGGAGCAGCAACGGAAACGCGCCUUCGAUUUCACCAAGAACGCCUUCGGACGGGCCGGACCGAAGGAGCAGACCGGCGUAGCUGCCGCGGUCAACACCGUGCUCUGGGGCAAGCAGGCUGCGGAGACCCCGCCGAGGUCCGGCGAGAUCUCCCGGCUGGACAGCAAUGCGUCUUCGUCUAGUUCUUCGUCCCAGAAGGGAGGCAUCGCGAAGUUCAGCGGGUUCCUGCGGGGAUCGUCCAAACGGUUCGACGGUUGGAAUAGGUAUAUCCUCGGUAAGUUGCCGUCGUUCAAGUCCCCGAGCAGGUCCAGCUCGAGGAGUCGCUCGCCGAACCGCUCGCCCAAGCCACCACUUAGCAAAUCCAAGUCGACGAGCAAUUGGAAAAAAGCGUCGUACUGGAAGAUACUUCCGUAGUCGCAAAGUGUCCUAUUCACAGGGUCGUAUUCAUAUUCGUUCAUUAGACGGUUCCUUUCUUUGUAUUAGAAGGUCCUGCCCAUAUACACUGAAAACAUAUUGGUAGAAUUUACCAUUCCUUCACGCUGUAUUUCACACAGCGUGAAGGAAUGGUAAAUUCUACCAAUCUUUCAGUCAAUUCUGCCAGAAGAAAGGUAAAAGUUACUGUAAACAGGUACAGGUACAUUCCUCUGGCAGAAUUGACUUGAAGAUUGGUAGACUUUACCAUUCCUUCACGCCGUGUGAAAUACAGCGUGAAAGAAUGAUAAAUUCUACCUAUCUUUUUUUCAGCGUAGUUCUUGUUUUUUUAGUUUAUUGACACCUUAGAUGGUUGAUUAUUACAAAAAAAAUCGUCCUUUCAACGGGAGGGCAAGAGCAAAAUGUCUGUAAAAAACUUAAGUCUAAGUUAUAUGGUACUGUCUAAAAAUAAAGUAUAAAAGAAAGAAAAAGGGAAAAGUAUCCACCCUAGGGCAUGCAUUGGCACUCGGAGGGGUCUCUUUACCCUUCUCACUAUUGUCUAGGCUAUCUAUGGCUAGUCUAUGCUAUGUAACUCUAGUCUUGGCUAUUUAAGGGUAGUCUAGGCUGCCCGUAUAGAGUUUACACUGUGAUCAAGGGAGGUUCAAAAAGCCCUCAAAAUCACAUCUUAAAACGGGCAAUUCUCGCAAACCUUGAGUGAAAUUCAGCAAUUUAACUUUGAAAAUGGGUCCUUGUAAGGUAUUAAAAUGACUUCCCACAGCAAAAUGUCCGAAUAAAUGAAUGGAUGAAUUAUUAUGAAUGAAUGAAUGCUAUGAUUUUUACAAACUUUAAAGUAAGUGCGAACCUACACAGAGAGCAAUUUCAACACAAAAGUUUGGUCAAUACAGGGAGUAAAACACUAAAUAACCCUAGCCUUCGGUUUCCGAUUUCAGGAGAAAAUGCCUGCCAGUUUUUCGUUUGAAGAAAAAUAAAAAAGAAACGAGCUGGUGAACACCAACGUCGCAAUCGGAGGAGUGCAUUUCCCCACUCCUUCCAUUGUUUUCUGAGUUAAAUUGGACGUAUUUCUAUCAAACGGAACUAUGUGCAUUACGACGUGAGCCCUGUUAUACAUGUAUUCUUAUGGGUCUCAGGGCCCAUGUCUUAAUGCACAUAGUUCCGUUUGAUAGAAAUACGUCCAAUUCACCGCAAACUGCACCAAAAUCAACGCAAGACUUGUGUUGGUUUUUAUUUCACCUCCUAUUUUAACCUACCUUUCUUAACACAAGAACACAAAUAUUUUUAUCUUUGUACCUUAAAAUCUUCAAACCCGUAAUUAUUUAUACUGCUGAAUACGAAAAUUCAGCGGUGUAUAAGUUUGGAACUGGAUCUCUUGAAAGGGAUCACAAUGAUCCCCUUCAGGAAAAAUUUCAAAAUAGGAUAGAGAAAUGCUGUGAUUUCAACAAACUACUUUUUUGGCGCAAACUUACCUUAAAAUUUAUGAAACCCGCGGAGUGAUUUCUAUCUUUUUUAAUUUUUUGUAACGGUGAAUGAUCGUAUUCCCUUUUUGAGGACCUUUUCCCAAAGUUAUACUGCUGAAAUUCAAUCGAGAUUAGCAAAAAUUGUUCUUUUUGAGGUGCUGUGCUAAGGGUCUCCCUUCGCCUCCCCUUAAUCACAAUGUAAACCAUAUUGGGCCUCUCAAGGAAAAGAGCCGUUUAAGAAACGGCCAUGAAUACGACACUAAAUUAUGAUCCGGGCACGUACCUGAGUGCUAUUCCGAAUCGCCUUUUAAAGAGUGGAUAUGCAAACCCCACGACUGCAGAGUUAAAAUAGUUAUCGCUCGGAAAUGAAGGGGCUUACUGAAAAAUGCUAGGCAUUGCUCGCAGGGCUCAUACCUUGGAUCCUGAGCGAUGCCUGCCUUUGUACCUGUUUCUAAUUUAAAUAAAUCAAGCGU
rnacentral:lncRNA from 1 species